UGAGGAACAUGACCUUCGGCGGGGGAUAGCCGGCCCAACGGCCGGGUAAUACCGCGUACGACCACUUUGGGACAUCCCUAGGUGGUGAAAGCAGCAAUGCGCCGAUGGAGUGCCUCGCGGCCUAUCAGCUAGUUGGUGAGGUAACGGCUCACCAAGGCGACGACGGGUAGCUGGUCUGAGAGGAUGGCCAGCCACAUUGGGACUGAGACACCGGCCCAGACCUCCGUACGGGGAGCAG
rnacentral:rRNA from 1 species